rnacentral:lncRNA from 1 species
GUAAAGCCUCGGUCAGCCAGUGGGGAAGAAAGUAAAUCUUCUGGAAGCUCUUUAGUGUCAGCAGAAUUGAGGCAUCAGGCGCACAGAAUCUUCAGAAAUUUGCUUUUCUGGGACAGCCCUUCUCAAGAAGACAACUGAUUGCAACUUCUUCUUCAAUGUAUGCUGGACUUUCAAUGAUGAUGUAUGAAAGUCCCUACCUGAACUGACGAGGAAAGAGAUCUUCAGCUCUGAGUGGCAAGUGAGAAACCACCGCC